GCUCGGUUAGCUCAGUUGGUUAGAGCGUCGUACUAAUAUUAUACGGUAAAAUGUAUAACAUUGGUAAUGCGAAGGUCAUGAGUUCGACCCUCAUACUGAGCA
rnacentral:tRNA from 1 species